rnacentral:rRNA from 1 species
CUACGGGAUGCAGCAGUAGGGAAUCUUCGGCAAUGGACGGAAGUCUGACCGAGCAACGCCGCGUGAGUGAAGAAGGUUUUCGGAUCGUAAAGCUCUGUUGUAAGAGAAGAACGAGUGUGAGAGUGGAAAGUUCACACUGUGACGGUAUCUUACCAGAAAGGGACGGCUAACUACGUGCCAGCAGCCGCGGUAAUACGUAGGGUCCCGAGCGUUGUCCGGAUUUAUUGGGCGUAAAGCGAGCGCAGGCGGUUAGAUAAGUCUGAAGUUAAAGGCUGUGGCUUAACCAUAGUACGCUUUGGAAACUGUUUAACUUGAGUGCAGAAGGGGAGAGUGGAAUUCCAUGUGUAGCGGUGAAAUGCGUAGAUAUAUGGAGGAACACCGGUGGCGAAAGCGGCUCUCUGGUCUGUAACUGACGCUGAGGCUCGAAAGCGUGGGGAGCAAACAGGAUUAGAUACCCCUGUAGUC